ensembl:lncRNA
CACAGACUGCUCUCUGCUCUUCCUGGCAGUCCCUGAGGGCUCGUUUAUUAAGACCCUGAUUACCACCAGACAUCUCUGGAGGCUGACCUCCCAACCACAAACCCCAAAUGGGAACAGGAGCUCUAGACAUUUUAAAGAGCAAGACAUGCUUGCUUUUCUGGCAGCUCUGAAGGCAUACAGGGUAAUGAAAAUGCAUUCAGGGACUUCCACGGUGGUCCAGACGCUCAGACGCUGCACGCCCAAUGCAAGGGGCCCAGGUUCGAUCCCUGGCCAGGGAACUAGAUCCCACAUGCCACAACUAAGACCCGGAGCAGCCUAACAGAUUUUAAAAAAGAAAAAUGCAUUCAACUGCACACAGACGCUCCCGAGACUGGGUCAGUUACGACCAUCCAGAAGGAGACCAUGCCCAGCCAACUACAAGGUGAGGGCCCAGACUGGAUCAAGAAGAGAGGAUCAGCCACCUCAUGUCUGUUUCAGCUGAAAGCUUUUCCCUGUGUGGACAGUUCUCCCAUUUCUAGAC